rnacentral:tRNA from 1 species
AUUAGAACCCUCUCGAGGUG